GGCUGUGUCUCAAUUCAGGGUCUGCAUCCUACCUCGGCCGGAUUCGUCGGCCGGUUACGUCACAGCGCCGCGACUCGGCCUGUCCCAAUUCGAAGACUCCUUCAAAUGCGGUCGACGAAUGCGGCCUUCUUUUCGCCUGAAUGAAGGAUGGGUCGGGUGUAUCCUUCAAUAGGUAGCAUUUCCCAAGAUGCCUUGCGGGCCGGCCGGCAGAAAAACUUAAAAACAAUGGCGGACAGUGAAGGGGGAGCUGUCGGAGAGGAUUGCGCAUAUACAUGAACAAAAGAGAAAACCAGGGAAUUUAUUAAGCUUAGGACGGAGAUGGACCACAUGAUCACCGGAGCAAAGUAUUCGGCGGCUGUGGCAUGGAGACUAUUCUGGAGAAAAUGGGCAUCCAGGGGAAGGUGCCAGCGAUGAGCUUCUGGAGCUGAUCAGGGAGGACAUGAGGCUGCAGAGGGAGGCAGAGCAGCAGGAGCCCAGGAGAGAAGGAAGAACUUUGACAGCUUUUUACUUUGCUAGAAAAAAAUGGUUAAGGAAGAUUAAACAUGUACAUGUAAAAGAAAUAUCUAAAUAAAAUCAGUUCUGCAUUAAACUCUUGAAUUUUAUUUUUGUUUACAAAUGAGAAUUGUUUACUAGAAGGUAUCCGCUGGGUCUUGAAAAGUCUUAAAAGGUGAUAAAUCGGUUUUGGUCAAAUUAAGACCCUUAGAAAGUAUUAAAAACUAUUAUCACAUCUUUGCUCAGGCUCAGCUAGUCUAAAGUAUUUUCUCUGAAUUAGCUCUCCAACAGUCAAGGAAAUGAUUAACCCCCAGAGACCCACGGUUGUAAUAUUACAACAUCAGAUUUAAGUCUACAAGAAUAAACCUUCCCCAUUUUUUUUCUUUUUAAAACCACAUUUACAUUGCUAAUAGGUCCUAUUGUUCAGUUCUGCAACACUAUUGGCUGUUAAAAUGUGUAAAUAGGCCCGUUUAUCUGGCCUCCUAGAACAUGUGAAAGGUUAAAAAAAUAUUUUGCAGUUGUUUUCUAAAUUUGGGUUUCUGGGGGUUAAAAAGCUAAAUAAAACGUCGAGCUCCAUCGUUUAAAGUUCCUUCUCCCUUCUGCCCAGCGGUUCCACGGUUGCUAGGCGACGGAACGUUCGCCGAGGGAGUUCAUGAAGGCUAGGCCUGUCCAAAUUCACAGCCGUUAACAUCCGGUCUACCCGGCCGACGGAGGACGCAGCCCACGUCGGCCGGGUGGGCUGGGUCCUUCGAAGGAUGCAGACCCUGAAUUGAGACACAGCCA